GCGCCUGUAGCUCAACUGGAUAGAGCAUUUGACUACGGAUCAAAAGGUUAGGAGUUCGAAUCUCUUCAGGCGCG
rnacentral:tRNA from 1 species